GGAUGCGAUCAUACCAGCACUAAAGCACCGGAUCCCAUCAGAACCCGAAGUUAAGCGUGCUUGGGCGAGAGUAGUACUAGGAUGGGUGACCUCCUGGGAAGUCCUCGUGUUGCAUUCC
rnacentral:rRNA from 1 species